AUCAUCGUCGCCGUUAUCUCUGUUUUAACAAUGAUUAAGCGAGAUUACGAAUCUGAAUUACCUGCCAAUAACCCAGAAAAGGCAAUCCAAUUCAUUUGCUCGCCGACUACACACUACCAGACAUGCUUUAAGUACAUGUCUAAUUCCCUCUACAAAAAUAAAAAAUUAGGAUCAACAAAAAUCAACUCAUCUCAAGUAUUCUCCAUCUCACUUCAUACCGUAAUCGGCGAGCUCCAGAAAGUCAGUUACUCACUCAAAUCGUCCGAUUCCUCUACUGAUCAGUCAACUGUAAGUCACUGCAACUAUCUGUAUUUCAACAAAUCACUGAGUCAAUUGAACAGUUAUUUGGCGAUCGAUGAAGAGAAAAACAUGACUAUGAGAUCUGAAAUGCUUGAUUGGCUCCAAACUGAAAGGCCCAAAAUUGCGAGAUGUUUG
rnacentral:lncRNA from 1 species